rnacentral:rRNA from 1 species
UGAAACCGUUUAGGGGUAAACCUGAGAAACCCGAAAGGUCGAAGGGAGAAAUUCAUUCGCGUCUCGCGGCCGGCUGCGUGGGGUUCGUUGACGGACGGCGUUCGCGUCGACCGCUCGUUCUCCGACGUUGACCCGGCGACGAACGCGUGCACUUUUCUCCCGGUAGGACGUCGCGAUCCGUCGGGUGUCGGUCUACGGCUUCGGGCGGAGCCCGUCGGUUAACGAUCUCGUUUACCGACGGACCCCGGACGCCCGGCCGACUCGCUCGACGGUAUAAGAAAGGUUAGAGGCCGCUCUCGGAGCGUUCGGCUCGCGGCAAGCGCGUCAGUCGCGUCGGCGAUCGGACCCGGUGCCGAUCCCGACCCCUGGCGACUGUUGGCCGCGAAGUUCUCGAACAGACCUCGCGACCGAUCGGCGACGCUAUAGCUUUGGGUACUUUCAGGACCCGUCUUGAAACACGGACCAAGGAGUCUAGCAUGUACGCGAGUCAUUGGGAUUAUCGCUAAACCUAAAGGCGCAAUGAAAGUGAAGGUCUUCCUCGCGAAGACCGAGGGAAGACGGGCGGACCGGCCUUAAAACCGGCCGUUCAGCAUUCCCGGGGCGUCUCGUUCUCAUCGCGAGAAGAGGCGCACCAUGAGCGUACACGCUGGGACCCGAAAGAUGGUGAACUAUGCCUGGUCAGGACGAA